rnacentral:rRNA from 1 species
AUGGUCAAGCGAAGAAGGGCGCAGGGCGAAUGCCUUGGCACUGGGAGCCGAAGAAAGACGUGAUAAGCUGCGAAAAGCCACGGGGAGCUGCAAAUAAGCGUUGAUCCGUGGAUGUCUGAAUGAGGAAACUCACCUGGGUUCAUACCCAGGUACGGCAUACUGAACUUCAAAAUAGGUAUGUCGGGGGAACCGCCUGAACUGAAACAUCUAAGUAGGGCGAGGAAGAGACAUCAAAAGAGAUUCCGUAAGUAGUGGCGAGCGAACGCGGAAGAGGGCAAACCAGAGAUAGAAAUAUCUCUGGGGUACGGACUGCAAUUAGGACUUGAGCUGUUAGCCGAACGGCAUGGGAAGGCCGGUCGGAGAGUGUGAGAACCACGUAGGCGAAAACGGCGAGAGACGAGCAGGAUCCAGAGUACGGCCGGACACGUGAAACCCGGUCGGAAGAAGGGGGGACCACCCUCCAACCCUAAAUACUACCCAGUGACCGAUAGCGUAUAGUACUGUGAAGGAAAGGUGAAAAGGACCCCGGGAGGGGAGUGAAAGAGAACCUGAAACCCUGUGCCUACAAGCACCUAGAGCACGUCAAAGUGUGAUAGGGUACUUUUUGUAGAACGGUCCGGCGAGCGAUUGUACGCAGCAAGGUUAAGGUCUUAAGGACUGGAGCCGAAGCGAAAGCGAGUUUGAAAAGGGCGAUAAGUUGCGUGCAAUGGGCCCGAAACCGGGUGACCUACCCAUGAUCAGGCUGAAGUGGAAGUAAAAUUCCAUGGAGGGCCGAACCGACCUCCGUUGAAAAGGCGGCGGAUGAAUUGUGGGUAGCGGAGAAAUUCCAAUCGAACUCGGAGAUAGCUGGUUCUCCCCGAAAUAGUUUUAGGACUAGCCUCAUUUUAGAUACCCGGAGGUAAAGCACUGAAUAGCCUAGCGGCCGAGAGGUUAGCGAAGCUUAUCAAACUCAGAAUGCCGGAGUAUUGAUGAAUGGGAGUCAGACAGUGUCAGAUAAAUGUCAUUGUCAAAAGGGAAACAGCCCAGAUCUACAGCUAAGGUCCCAAAGUCAGGUCAAGUGGAAAACGAUGUGAAGAUACGCAGACAACCAGGAUGUUGGCUCAGAAGCAGCCACUCAUUUAAAGAGUGCGUAAUAGCUCACUGGUCGAGCGUCUUUGCGCGGAGAAUUUAACGGGGCUAAACCUGACACCGAAGCUUAGGCAGCAGAAAUGCUGGGUAGGGGAGCGUUGUAUACGCGGAGAAACAGUAGCGUGAGCGGCUGUGGAGUGUAUAGAAGUGAGAAUGCCGGAAUGAGUAGCGCGAAUGCAGUGAGAAUCUGCAUGGCCGAAAGCCUCAGGUUUUUGGAGGAAGGUUCGUCCGCUCCAAGUUAGUCGGGAGCUAAGGUGAGGCCGGAAGGCGUAGCCGAUGCACAGACGGUAGAGAUUCCGUCACCACCAAAAGAGUUAAGCAUGGGGACACAUCCGAAGUGUUCGAGCCGGGCGUUGGUACCGGUAGCGAUCGAGGGAAAAUAGUACCGAAGUCGAGCAUGGAGGGUGGCGAGAAAAGCCAUGUGUAUUUCUGCGGUGCCCGUACCGCAAACCGACACAGGUAGGUAGGAAGAAGAUUCUAAGGCCAACGGGAGAAGGGUUGUUAAGGAACUCGGCAAAUUGACCCCGUAACUUCGGGAGAAGGGGUGCUGGAGCGAUCCAGCCGCAGAGAAACGGCCCAAGCAACUGUUUACCAAAAACACAGGUUUGUGCUAAAUCGAAAGAUGACGUAUACGAGCUGACGCCUGCCCGGUGCUGGAAGGUUAAGAGGAGAUGUGAGAGCAUUGAAUUGAAGCCCCAGUGAACGGCGGCCGUAACUAUAACGGUCCUAAGGUAGCGAAAUUCCUUGUCAGGUAAGUUCUGACCCGCAUGAAAGGCGUAAUGAUUUGGGCACUGUCUCAACAGCCCGCCCGGCGAAAUUGUAGUACCGGUGAAGAUGCCGGUUACCCGCGACAAGACGGAAAGACCCCAUGGAGCUUUACUGUAGCCUGAUAUUGGGUUUCGAUGUUGCAUGCACAGGAUAGAUGGGACACAGGGAAGCAUGUGCUUUGGCAUAUGUGGAGUGGACGUUGGGAUACCAUCCUUGUGAUAUUGGAAUUCUAACCAGCAGCCCUGAAGCGGGCUGGGGGACAUUGUCAGGUGGGCAGUUUGACUGGGGCGGUCGCCUCCAAAAGAGUAACGGAGGCGUUCAAAGGUUCGCUCGGCUUGAACGGAAAUCAAGCGAGAGAGUGCAAACGCAAAAGCGAGCCUGACUGCGAGACUGACGGGUCGAGCAGGGACGAAAGUCGGAGUUAGUGAUCCGGUGGUAUGUGAGUGGAAAUGCCAUCGCUCAACGGAUAAAAGUUACCCUGGGGAUAACAGGCUGAUCUCCCCCAAGAGUCCACAUCGACGGGGAGGUUUGGCACCUCGAUGUCGGCUCAUCGCAUCCUGGGGCUGUAUUCGGUCCCAAGGGUUUGGCUGUUCGCCAAUUAAAGCGGUACGCGAGCUGGGUUCAGAACGUCGUGAGACAGUUCGGUCCCUAUCUGUCGUGGGCGCAGGAUAUUUGAUGGGAGCUGUCCCUAGUACGAGAGGACCGGGACGGACGAACCUCUGGCGCACCAGUUGUUCCGCCAGGAGCACAGCUGGGCAACUAUGUUCGGAUCGGAUAAACGCUGAAAGCAUCUAAGCGUGAAGCCGACCCAAAGAUAAGAUAUCCCACUGA